GCAUCUUUAGCUCAGCUGGUAGAGCAACUGACUCUUAAUCAGUGGGUCCAGGGUUCGAGUCCCUGAAGAUGCA
rnacentral:tRNA from 1 species